AACGCAUAUUGCGCUCUCUGGUAUUCCGGAGAGCAUGCUUGUUUGAGUAUCAGUAAACACCUCAAAUCCCUCUACUUGUUGGAGGAAUUUGGACUUGAGCAAUCCCAACUUUUCGAAAGAGAAGGCGGGUUGCUUGAAAUGCAGGUGCAGCUAGAUUCUUUCUUCUGAGCUAUAAGCAUACUUAUUUAAUCCCGUCAAACGGAUUAUUACUUUUGCUGCAGCUAACAUAAAGGUUGAAGAGUCGCUAUGGCUGACUGAUGCAGGAUUUAACAUUUCGCGCAAGCGAUUUGUAAACUCGAUCUCAAAUCAAGCAAGACUACCCGCUGAACUUAA
rnacentral:misc_RNA from 4 species